rnacentral:snRNA from 1 species
UAACCCGCGGUUUACCGCGGG